CAGUCGCCACGGGAAUACGGAGGGUGCAAGCGUUAAUCGGAUUACUGGGCGUAAAGCGCACGCAGGCGGUUUGUUAAGUCAGAUGUGAAAUCCCCGAGCUUAACUUGGGAACUGCAUUUGAAACUGGCAAGCUAGAGUCUUGUAGAGGGGGGUAGAAUUCCAGGUGUAGCGGUGAAAUGCGUAGAGAUCUGGAGGAAUACCGGUGGCGAAGGCGGCCCCCUGGACAAAGACUGACGCUCAGGUGCGAAAGCGUGGGGAGCAAACAGGAUUAGAUACCCCGGUAGUCCCUGUCUCUUAUACA
rnacentral:rRNA from 1 species